GAAAGAGCGGUGCUGCAGUGGCACAGGCUGCACAGGGAGGUGGUGGAGUCACUGUCCCUGGAGGUGUUCCAGAGCUGUGUGGAUGUGGCACUGAGGGACAUGGCCAGUGGGCACGGUGGGGAUGGGCUGGCGGUUGGACUAGAUGAUCUUAAUGAUCCUUUCCAACCUUAAUGAUUCUAUGAUUCUAUAGGUGCCUCACCUCUCACAGGAUCCCUGGAGAAAGGUCCUCCUGCAAGUGGAGUUGAUGAACCUGGCUUGAGAUUGUCAAUGCAGCAGGUCUUUCCCUGAAGCCGUGUCUCUGGAGGACCUGGGAACAAUGUGGCAGGGGUUCUGCCCUCCUGUGAUGGUGAUCUGAGCACUGCCUCCUUGGCCUUUCCACUGGGAGCAACCUUAAAUCCCUCAACCAUGGCAUUGCGGAGACCCACCACAGGCCCACUACAGGAAUU
rnacentral:lncRNA from 1 species